AUUCUUGUCAGCCGAGACAGAGCUGCAUUAGUCCCGUUGCAGAGGAGCUGGUGUGCAAUCGCAUCAUGAAGUACGUGAAAAGGCUCGACCAGAGGAUGAAGGGGAGGAAGGAGCAGGUGGCGAGGAGCAAAUACGGACGGAUCAGCAAGAAGAACAAGGAAAUGAUCAAAAUGCCGUUCAUGAAGAACCCUCAGCUUCGGUCCUUCGUGAUCAGGGACGGGAAUUAUGUGUCCCUGAAGGCGGCGUCUCCUCUUGACCUGUAGAAUCGCUUCUGUGGAAAUGGGAUCGGUCAACGGGGCGGCGGGAAAGGAUUUAUUUUUUAUCAUAUUGUAUGUGUAUUCUUGCUUUUCUUGUUCUUCGCGUUAUUUUUCGUUUAAGGCGGGGUGGAUAUGGCUUUAACUUUGUUUUUUUUAUUACAUGUGUAAACUCUUUUUACGUGUUAUUAUUAUUUAUUUUGUAUUCUCUUGUCCCGAUCUGUUUUUUUUUUUAAUGCAGCUGCAUUGAUGGAUCCUCUAUAAAAGACGAAAAAACGAUGCUUGUGGCAUAUUACUCCAACUCCGUCUGAAACCUUCGCUCGAGCAUGACAAGCACUGAAAUCCCCUACUUGAGAUUCAUCAUAACUGAUCGACUUUUUUUUUUAGCGAUUCAGAACCCCUUGCACAAGGAGCUUUGUCUUCGUUCCCUUAUUGUUUUCAAAUAAUGGCAAAGGAGGAUAAAGUUCUUAAGUAUAUUAAAGGUCCACUGGUCCUUGGUGAUAUUGUUAUAAUGAUAAUAAUGGCAAGAACAUAUACAUAGGACUAUGCUUAUGCAAUCCAGAAGUUCGGUUAUCUAUUAAAAUUACAGAAUUGACAUUUUUUUCUUCGCCCUUUCUUAAAAUGAAUAUAAACGCGGCUAAAUUGGGCGAUUUAAGAGCAAAUGUUUAAAAAAGAUCAAUCUGAGGGACUGAUAGAUAGGAAAAUAUAAUUAACUUUUUUCGUGUCACUGUCCAUCAUUUAUUUACACAAACCUGAAAACCCUUUUUUGAAACUAAGUUGAAUGAUUAUUUUCGCGACCAAAGAUAUUGCUAAUUGCAUAAAUAAUCCUCUUGAUAGCCUGAGAAAUAAACUGCAUUUUGAUUUUCGCAAACUGCCGGUUCGCAACGGUAAUCAAAAUAUAUUGAUAUCUAACUCUUUGUUUAUUAUGGUUAGUUUCAGUGUGCACUGUAAUAAAUUUAUAAGUUUUGGUUUAUGAAAUCAAAUCCAAUAAAGCAAAUUACGAUAAAA